rnacentral:rRNA from 1 species
GACGAACGCUGGCGGCGUGCUUAACACAUGCAAGUCGAACGGAAAGGCCUGUCCUGCCUUGGGUUGGACGGGUACUCGAGUGGCGAACGGGUGAGUAACACGUGAGUGAUCUGCCCCCAACUUGGGUAUAAGCCUGGGAAACUGGGUCUAAUUCCCGAGAGGACUGGAGGGUGGUGCCGGUGGUGGAAAACGAUAUGCUAGUGGUUGGGGAUGAGCUCGCGGCCUAUCAGCUUGUUGGUGGGGUAAUGGCCUGCCAAGGCCGCGACGGGUAGCCGGACUGAGAGCGUGGACGGUCGCAUUGGGACUCGGUCCCGGCCCCUACUCCUACGGGAGGCAGCAGUGGUGGGUCUUGGACCGUGGGCGGAAGCCUGAUGUAGCGCCGCCGUGUGGGGGAUCUCCGGAUUCGGGUGGUAAUCUCCUUUCGAGCGCGAGGAGGCCGCUUGGUUGGAAGGGUUGUGACGUUACUGGUAGAAGAAGCACCGGCUAACUACGUG